UAGCUAGGAGCUCAAAACACAGUUUCGUAAAAUGAAGUUCAACGAUCUUACUUUGUUCUUGGUUGUUCUCUUUGCAUGUGUUCUCUUUUCUGCUGCUGCAAAAACCCAUCAGACCACCAUUCAACCCCAAACUCAUAAACAAAAAGCUAUUGAAGCAGAAAAAGUAGUUCAUACAAACGGCCCAAGCACAUGGGGCGGCUGCUGGAAAUGCUGGCCCAACCAUAACCGUCGUCUUCUCCGCUAGGAUAGUUCAUGAUGAUGGCAAUAUGCAUGUUUUUGUUGAUCAAUGUAUGAAUAAACCAAUAGGGUGUAUGGUUUGAUUUUUUGCUUUAUAUAUAUAACAAGUAUGAGAUAUUAUCAUAUUAGACACUCGUUUUGUUUUUAAUCGUUAUUGAUUUGUUAGA